AGGGAAAAGCAGGAGCACCUAUAAACACAGUAAGCAAAGGUCUCCCAAGGGCAACUUCUGCCGCCUCUUGGGGACAGCCCAGAAGAGGAAACAGCUCUGCCCUGGAGAGCGCCAGUCUGAGGAAGAGAAUACUCAGACCAGCCUUUAAGGAGUCCCUGGUCUAAUCGGUGGGGGUGGGGGUGGGGGUGGGGUGGCAGGACACCCACCUGAAAGACACUGGAUGGCCACACAUCCAAGAAAAACCUGGAUGAGUGGGUGCCUUCACCAGGGGGUGACAUGAACAGGGAGGAGCGGACCCUACUCAAUCUACCAGGACCGCUCCUUCUGCAGGCAAGCCACCAGGGUCUUGGGCUAGACACAGCAUGAGAUUUAUGGAUAGAACACACUCUGACCCACUGUGGCUUCUCUACCCCUACUCGGUUUGCUCCAGACAAGCCUCUCCUCUCCCCACCUGAAUUUUCUCAUCAGCAGAGUGCAGACAACGUGUUUUACUUAUACCAGUAUUUGGGAAAUUUGAAAGGAUGAUGAUGAUGAUGAUGGCGACGGUGACGAUGGUGGUGGAGGUGGAGGUGGGUAUGGUCCAAAAUGAGGCUCUCUUCCCCUCUCCUCCGCCCCCCUCCUAGGCCCCUAAUGUCAGUGGGUGAGCCAAGGGGAAGAGACUCCUCCACAUCCCAUUUGGGACAGGCCCAGGUCCCCAAAGGCUGGCCCCACCUGCGGAUACUGUAGCAGGCUCUGGGCUGGAGCCAAGGCCUGGAUUAUAGGACAUGACAUCCCCUCUCGCAACCGCCUCCAGUCCCUGCUGUCCAGCCACACUCAUGUCUCGGCUGCUCAGAGCUGGAGACACGGUGUUUGGGGGACAUGAUAAGUGACUCCUAGCAGAGUCCAGAGUGAUGCAACAAGGGUUUCUCAGGAAAGUUAUCUCCAGGCUGGGAGGUAAGAGGAGGAAACAAGGAUGAGGAGGUUCCACUGUUCAAGGACAUCCCAGGGGCAGGAGACAGGUCCUGGCUCUGCUCUCCGGAAGCUUGUAGGGGAAGUAGGCCCUCUGUCUACACAAUGGCAAGGAACAGCCCUGACUGUAGGAGCUUCUGAUGGGGAAAAAGCCGCCCCAGUCUCAUGGAUGUCACAGUCUGAUGGGGGAGACACAGCUUCUGUUAUCAGGGGACCUAGAGAUGAUCAUACUGAGUGAAGUAAGCCAGACAGAGAGACACAGAUACCAUAUGAUAUGGCUUAUAUGUAGAAUCAAAAAAAAAAGAUACUAAUGAACCUAUUUACAAAACAGAAAUAGACACAGACAUAGAAAACAAAUUUACAGGUACCAAAGGGGAAGUGGGAGGAGGAGUAAACUAGGAGUUUUGGAUUAAUAUAUACACGCUGCUAUAUAUAAAAUAGAUAAUCAACGAGGACCCACUGUAUAGCACAGGGAAACUAUAUUCAAUAUCUUGUGAUAAUUUAUAAUGGAAAAGAACUGAAAAAGUGUGUGUGUGUGAGUGUGUGUGUAUGAAACAUUUUGCUCUAUACCUGAAACUAACACAAAAAAUUUUUUUUUUUUUUUUGGGGGGGGGGAGUUCCCGUCACGGUGCAGUGGUUAACAAAUCCGACUAGGAACCAUGAGGUUGUGGGUUCGAUCCCUGCCCUUGCUCAGCAGGUUGACGAUCCGGCGUUGCCUGAGAGAACCACCACUGCACCUGCCUGAACUUUUCACUUGUUUGCCAACUGAGCUGGCAUCUGAAGACCUGACCUGCCCACCACAGCGGUGACUCAGCCAGAGGAGGACUCGAGGGUACAGGGGAGGGGGUCAGAGGGGCCUCUGUGGUCAUUGUUAGUCCAAUAAAGAUUCCCAGGGGUCCUGCCAAAUGACCUUGGGAAAUGGUCUGCUGAGUACCCCCUAUGUCCCCACAGGGCUCCAGAUUUAUCUGCUCUGAACCUGCCGCCUCAUUCCUCAGAAAGCCUGGCAGCCCGUACGCCCUUCCCUUCUCCUGAUGCUGAUGUUGGGACAAAUCACUUAAGCAACUGCACCCUGAAGGUUCAGGGAGAUCCUAUGGGGAGCCCUGGGUGUGUCAUGACUCUGAGCAUCAUCUGAAACAAUGAUGCCAUACUCUUCCAUUUGGCCUCUCCUUUGCCCGUGGCUGUGACCCUCACCUUGAGCUACCUUGGUGGGCUGACAGGCCAGAACAGUCAUUCAUUUCCCAAUCUUCUUUUUUACUGACUCUCAACUUCCCACGCCUGUGAUUCUCCUGUCUUUCCAUCUCAGCAUCCACAUCCUUCAUCCACUCUGGGCUGCAUCCCCCCAGCAGGUCCUUAAGCACCUGUUUCUCAGGCUGUCAUGGAAAUAGGUCUCGCUGGGUGAGAUGCCGGGACAGAAGACCCCUUGCACCAUCAGAGCAACACAACGCACACCUGACCCAUCCCUGCCCCUCUGAAUCUGGCUCCCUCUGCCCUUCUCAAGGUCACCUCACACCCUGUCUUCCCAGUUCCAUGGCUCUAGUCCCCUGCUCCACCUCCUUUCUCCCCAAGGGUGACCUCCUGGGCCCCAGCCCAGCUCCAAGGCUCUACUCUCUGUCAGACGGAGGCCAGGAGUGAUGGUUAGAAACAGACAGGCAGCCCCCAGCUGCCACCCUUUGACAAGAAGUCAUGUUAAGCAUCCCUGGUAACAUCAUGCCUCCCCUCAGCUUAAAAUGUCAAGUCUCUAGGAAGCUCCUGCAAAGGAGACAGUAUGUGUCAGACUAGAAAGUGCCUCUGCUUCAAAGUCAGAAAAACCAGAGAUAAAACUCCAGGCGGGCCACCUGCUAGCUGUGUUAGGAAACUGACAUCACCCACCUGGGCCUCCAUGUCCUCACCUGAGCCAUGGGGAGAUGAUAGGGAAUGGCCAACACUUGUUGAAUCCCAGACACGGUUCCAAGGGGGUUACAUAGAGCUAAUUCACAAAGUCUUCCCCACAACCCGGAAGCUGGGCAUUGCUGUAUCCACCCCCACCCCACCCCCAUUUUACUGACGAGGAAACUGAGGCGCCGAGUGGUUAAGUCAACUAGUCACCUGUCCAGGGAGGUAUGACUAGAAAGUGGCCAUCUGGAUCUGCUGUGGCCUUAAUCAUGAUCACACACUGCCUCUCACACAUGCCUUUCUCGCUCGCUGGAAUGCAAACACCCGGCUAUUCCCUGGCAAGCAGCAGGCCCUCAAUCCACGCAAGAUGGUUGGUCAUUUAGACACGGGGCCUUCAGGCAGGCAAGUGGGAUGCGGCAGGCUUGGUGACUCUAGCAACUGGAGACUGGAGUUGCAUGAGUGGAUGGCCACGCACCCCAUACAUACAUGGAGGAGGAGCCACCAGAGGUCGGUGUGGACCCUGAAACGUGGCAGAAGGCACGUCUGGGCUGGGCUGGGAAUCCCUGUACCUGCUCUGAGUCUGUGAGACUGCAUUUGACGGACUGCUGUAGCUGCACAUCUCUGAGAGGGCAGCUGGACCAAAAGAGCAUCGUGGGGAAGAGAGACUAGGACGUGAGCGCAGCGGGGUCCCUGAAGGGAAAGGAGAGAAGCGUGUGGGGAUUCAGCUAGGGAUCAGAGACACGUACGGGUUGGCCUCCCACUGGUGCCGACUCCCACCGGAGCUUAGUGCAGGGGACACAGGGUGNNNNNNNNNNNNNNNNNNNNNNNNNNNNNNNNNNNNNNNNNNNNNNCACAAGGGAGUCAGGAGCAUGCACAGACGGGGCUCACGGCAAGCUCGGCAGGCUGUGCUGACAAAGGGAAAAUAAUUAGCACGGACAACUGAGAGGUUCUUUUUGUCUCCAUGGAAAGACUGGUUGGAACGUGUAGGGAAUGAAGAUGGUGAGGCCGAGCGAGGGCCCUGAUCCCUUUCUCAAGUGCUGAGACUAAGGCUCUCCUCUGCGCUGCUUUGUUUAGGGCCGCACCCGCGGCAUAGGGAAGUUCCCAAGCUAGGGGCUGAAUCUGAACUGCAGCUGCCGGUCUACACCACAGCCACAGCAACACCAGAUCCGAGCCGCAUCUGUGACCUACACCACAGCUCAUGGCAAUGCUGGAUCCUUCAUCCACUGAGCAAGGCCAGGGACCAAACCCACAUUCUCAUGAAUCCUAGUUGGGUUUGUUAACUGCUGAUCCAUGAAGGGAACUCCUGCUUUUUUAAGAAAAUGUUUUCAUGCCUCUUAUUUUGUCAAGUCCUCCCUCAUGUGGCCCCUUCUGCCCUGCUGCACUUUCCAGGGACACCAUUCUCCACGGAUCCCAAGGUCAACGUGCCCCCUGGAGGGUGUUGCCUGUGAGAUGGGUCUAUUACUCCCAGGUUACAGAACGGAAAACUGAGGUUCAGAAAGCCUUGGUGAUUUGCCCCGAACCACACAGCUUAUCAAAGGUAGGGCUCGGAAGAGGAUCUAGGGAUGUAGAAUUCCAGCCACAUGGGCUGCCCCAGGGUGGCACUGUGACCUUCCUGGCCCUCAGCAUGCUUACCUUCCUGGGCUCCUUCCCCCAGAAAAAGAUAUUAAAAAUUAUAUUUUAUGAUUGCAUUGGUAAAAAGAUGAAUAUCAUCCAGGCUUGAGUAAACAUUAAAAUGUUCUCCUCAAUACUAAAAGUUGAGAAUGGGUCUAAUUCUCACAGCUCAAUGCAGCUUCUGGGGCCACUUACUGCCCUGCCCCAGCCUGGCCUGGAGCAGCUCUGCCCAGGCCAUGUCCCUGGACCUUUAUCACAGGGACCUUCCUGCCCGAGCCAAACCUUAGGCCAUUCCAGGGGCUGGAUCAUCAAAUACACAGUAUUUUCCCCCACCUGUAUAUACUAAAGUCUCCUGAGAUACUCCGCCCCCCCGCCAAAUUCUCUUUGUAUGGAAUUAUCCUGAGAUGCCCUUUGAACUUCGUGUCUCCCAGACUCACUAUAAGUGGGUCCAUGCUCUCCUGUGGGCACCACCUCCCAUCUACACCAGCAAAGCUGGUACAGAGCUGGGCAUACCUGGAGCCUCAUGAGCAGGAACAGCCUCUGGGCUAGACACACUGAAGUAUUUGCUGUUUCUCAUUCCCUUCUCAGGAAUGUUGCUAUCUCCCCUGCUUUCCACCUGGCAAACUUAUAUAUAUCCUUCAAAGCCCCAUCUCAAAUGUCCUGCCUCCAGAAGCCCUCUUUUACCCUUCCAGAGAGAAUCCAUCUCUCCUAGUUUUCAGUGCAUGGCUCACUGGAGGACAGAUCACACCAUCCCCUCAUCAUGCAUUAAGGGGGGCUGUUCUACCACACUAGGGCUCUACUGACAGCAGGGUCCAACCCAGGCCUCAGGAGUUGGCGACCUGAUGGACAUAUUCCACUCUGGCUCCAGCCCACACUCAGUAGGAAGUAAAGUCAGAAGAGCAUCACUUCCAAUCAGCCAGAACUGAACCUCUAGGAACAUCUCAGGUUUGGGUGCCACAAGGCCUAGAUGUCAGGUCCCCCCAGAAUUUCUUCCCAUCUUCUUCAUUAAUUAAAAUCAACUUCGACUCUUGAUAAUCAGGGAAUGGAUUUUCCUGGUGGUUCUCAGCCCUGGCUGCAUGUCAGACUUCUGUGAAGCUUUUAUAAAAUGCCAACGCCUGGGCUUCCAGCAGAUCAGUUACAUCAGAAAUUCUGGGAAUGAGACCUGGUGUCAGUGUUUUUGACAGUUUUUAAAAGGCUCCUCAGGUGACUCC
rnacentral:lncRNA from 1 species